rnacentral:rRNA from 1 species
AGAGUUUGAUUCUGGCUCAGAACGAACGCUGGCGGCGUGGAUAAGACAUGCAAGUCGAACGGAAGAAUGCUAGCUUGCUAAUAUUCUUCAGUGGCGCACGGGUGAGUAACACGUGAGCAACCUACCUUCGAGUGGGGGAUAGCCCCGGGAAACUGGGAUUAAUACCGCAUGAGGUCGAAAGAUCAAAGCAGCAAUGCGCUUGAAGAUGGGCUCGCGUCCUAUUAGUUAGUUGGUGAGGUAACGGCUCACCAAGGCGAUGACGGGUAGCCGGUCUGAGAGGAUGUCCGGCCACACUGGAACUGAGACACGGUCCAGACACCUACGGGUGGCAGCAGUCGAGAAUCAUUCACAAUGGGGGCAACCCUGAUGGUGCGACGCCGCGUGGGGGAAGAAGGUCUUCGGAUUGUAAACCCCUGUCAUGUGGGAGCAAGCAGCAAUGUUGAUAGUACCACAAGAGGAAGAGACGGCUAACUCUGUGCCAGCAGCCGCGGUAAUACAGAGGUCUCAAGCGUUGUUCGGAAUCACUGGGCGUAAAGAGUACGUAGGCUGUUUUCUAAGUCAGGUGUGAAAGGCAGGGGCUCAACCCCUGGACUGCACAUGAUACUGGGAGACUGGAGUAAUGGAGGGGGAACCGGAAUUCUCGGUGUAGCAGUGAAAUGCGUAGAUAUCGAGAGGAACACUCGUGGCGAAGGCGGGUUCCUGGACAUUAACUGACGCUGAGGUACGAAGGCCAGGGUAGCGAAAGGGAUUAGAUACCCCUGUAGUCCUGGCAGUAAACGGUGCACGCUUGGUGUGAGGGGACUCGACCCCCCUCGUGCCGGAGCUAACGCGUUAAGCGUGCCGCCUGGGGAGUACGGUCGCAAGAUUAAAACUCAAAGAAAUUGACGGGGACCCGCACAAGCGGUGGAGUAUGUGGCUUAAUUCGAUGCAACGCGAAGAACCUUACCUGGGCUUGACA